GAGAAUAUAUGUAAAUCCUUACUAGAAUUUAAUGUAUUACUCAGAACAGUGUCUUGCAAGUAUAAUAUCCAUCAUUUUGAGAGUGUUUGCUAUUUGCUAGGCAAGUAAGUGUUUGUUAGCGGUUUUAUCAUUAUUUGUUUAUUUAUUCAAAAGAAAAUGAUGACACUGUGAUCACUUACUUGUCAAUAAGCACUGGCAGUAGUGUAUUAAACAGUGUUAGAGCAGGCAGGCAUUUAGAUUGCAAGCGAUGUAAUAUUAGGUCUUUCAGUGAUGACGAAUGCUUAGCUGAAGGUUUGUGAUUAUUAGUCAUUUAACAGCUUUUCACGUGCUUUGGUUCUAAUUUACUUUAUCUUUUAAGAAAAUAAAAUACACAGGAAAUUCCCUUUAAAAUAAAAAUCCAACUUUUUAUGAAAUUGGGGGAAAUUUUUAGAUAAUAGGUCAGUUGUCUUGCAUUUAGUUGAACAAGGCAAUUUUGCUGUAUAGGACCAGCAUUUUGCUCCUCAUUAUGGUAAAUAAUUUGGCAAUUUUGGGACAUCUAUCUCAACCAUUAAUUUUCACGGUUUCCGCAAGAAAGCCAACAUUAUCAACUUUCAUAAUAAAGAGACCAUACGGCAGAAAGUCUUAGUAAUCUGUCCAUUGUUUCAAAUCAAACAGAGAGGCAGCGACUUUCAUUCCAGUAAGAUGGUUAUCCUCUUUCUUUUCUUUGUUAACAUUGGUGAAAUAAGAAUAGUGCACCCCCAGAUUUUUUCCUUAACACAGUUAUCUGAAUGGCUAGGGAGAAAAACACAUCUAAGUGUUGAAUUAACUCAUCUUCCCUUGCCUAGCAGUCUGGCUGGGGUGAGGCACGUCUGUCAGCAGAACGACCCCACAAAAGUGUAUUGAGUAUCUGCUCUGUACCAGGAGCUGGAGCUGUCAAGCCAACACCUUAUGAUCGGUUUUUAGGUUGGCAUAGAAAUUCUAGGUUUUGCAGCAACUUCAGAGCAUUAGAGAUGAGUUUUCAAUGGGUGGACCUACAUGUAAUGGAGGUAUGAGGGAACAGAGAGGAAUUCCUGAAUUGGGUUAUUAGUGGUGAAUAUGGGCAGACACGUGUCUACAGGUGGGGGAAAAGGAACAGAAAUGAGUGGCACUUUGUUAUACAAUUAAAAUAUUAAAAACAUUCCUAUUAUAAUACAUCUCUUAAGCAGCUACUAAGUGCCCUUUUUUCUAGUAGGCACUGUGAGGUACCAAGUGCAUACAGUUUUGUAUGUGAAAUGGUUUCCUUGGUUACAUGCAAUCUUGACAACUGAUUUGAAUUUAAACUCAUGAGCACCAUCUAAUGGUGUUUCCCUAAUAAAUCCACUUUCCUAAUCUCUAUCCAGUUACUAGGUUCUUUAUAAUCCAGUGCUUAUGGACACUGUCACUCAAAUGUCUGCAUGGCAACCUAAUUGUAGGAAACAGCCUAGCCUUGUAGUCAGACAACGUGAUCUCAAACUUGGCUUCCCCAUUUCUUAGCUCUGUCUCCUCAAGUAAGUUAAAUAACCCUGAUCUCAAAAAAUAUAGUGAAUAAUAGGUACCCCAUCUGGUUGCUAUCAGAAUUAAUUGGAAUGCACACAUAGUGAGCCCAGAAAGUGUCAGAAAAAAGCGUCCAGGACAGGAGACAGUAUUCAGGAAUUCUGCUAACUUGGUAAAAAUCUGUAAAGCCUACCUAAAUGUUUCAACAUGAAAUUCAAGGUGUACUGAUGGGAUUUUAUUUUGAAAUAAAUAUUUUCUUGGAGCAGAGACCCCAGAAAUAAAAGCUGUGAUAAAAAUCCAGAGGAAGAUGCAGGGCAGUUAGAAAGCAGUCAGCUUUCUGUUUGGGAUCAGUGAGAAAUGGGCCUUGCGGUCUCUUGCACAUGGUGCUUUUUGCUGAAGAAAUACGUAACAUAAAAAUCAUCCUGAUUAAGGCGGGUAUUUUGCUUCCCUGAGGUGGCUCUUGGGCAGAAUGGUUUUGAGUGGACUCGGAAGCCCUGAAUUCUAAGGAGAUGAAGCCAGUGGAAAUAGGCCUGACAGGGCACUGGUUAUCUCUCUGUAUCCAGCGUGACAAGCCUUAUUCACAGUAAUGCAAUUUCUGAUGACAUUUCUUUUUUUCAAGUUUUACUUUAAAUUGAUUUAAGUAACCAGGUGAUAAUUCUGGGCAUGAGCUGAGAGCUCUUCCUAUCCAGCAAGAAAAAAUAUAAAAGCUUAGCUGCAGCUGAUGUUCAGCUUAGGGAUUUAGGGAAAAUCUUGACACAUUGCUUCUGAGGAUGACUUCCGCCCCAGAACAGCCAGUAUCUGUGUGGUCACAUUUGAGUGCAUGCUCUUUAACAUUUGGUGUUAAAGAACAUUUAAAAAUGUUCUUUAACACCAGCUUCUCCUCGUGUAGAAGUUGUUUGAAAUCAAGAGAGCUCGUGAUUUCCCUCACCUCCCCUGAGUCUUCCUUAAGGGAAAGGGGAUCGUUUACUCUUCACCGUCUGCUGCUGCUUCUGCUGGAAGGUCUGCUGCCUGCCUUCUUCCUGAUAAACAAAGGGGGAUUGUAUUGACCUAUUCAUUUUUAAAGAGACUUACAAAGGCGUUAAACAAUCAAACCUCAGUGUCCAAUCUGAGGCGCUCUUUUUCCUGAGAAAAACCUGAAGGCAGUAUUCACAUGAGACAUGCUCACUCCAAAUGCAGACAGUAGUGCCUUCCCUGCUGGUUAUUUACCAGGUUAGUAGGCUUCUUGAAGACUGUUUACCAUGCUGGGUGCUUUCCAUGACUAUCUUUCUUCUCCAUUUCCCUUUUUUGUUUCAAUAUUUUAAAUUUUAUAAUGGCUUAUAUUUAUUUUAUAUAUGUCUUAAAUUCUUUGGAGAAAAGCUAAUUUAAAAAUCUCAUCAAAAAAUUUAAAUGCUUACAGAGGUAGUCACAGAGGCAAAGGAAUAACUUGCUCAAAUAUUGUUUCUUUUGACCGAUGUCUUCCUUUCAAUGAUAAUGACAUUUUUUGACAGUCAAGGUCUGUCAUUGUAAGCACCUAAGAGUAAAGUCUUUAUUGUUAAACUUUAUUUCUCUUUGAUGUGUGAUGCAUUAUGUGAGGAAGACCAUGGCUUUUCUUCUUCAUUACCUUUCUAGUGUAGAAUAUAGACCAUUCACCUCAAGGCAACUAUAUGAUGAAAGACAGUUAAUCACUUAUCAAAGACUCACUUCAGUUUGUAAUUCCUCUAUGUUUCAACAAAAAGUACAUCAUAUUCUUAAAUUUCCUUACUUACUACUUAGUAUGAAAUCUUAAACAAGGAAAUAAUUGUACAAAGAAGUUGUGUCAUUAGCUUAUUUUAAAAAGCAAUUUUAUUUUGGAAGCUACUGAUAAUUUUAAACAGGAAAUGGCCUCAUCUGCUUACCUACCUUUAUCUCAUUUUUCUGAACUUUAUUCUUCCAUUUUAUAUUUUUAUUUUACCAAAGCAAGACCCCUAAGAAGCCAUCAAAUUUUGCACUACAAUUCUUAUCUGUAAAGAAAGAAAUUAUAUCCAUAAAAGCAUGAAUAAUUUUACUGUUACAUGUGAAGAGUGACUACUAUAUUUAUUGAAAGAACCAAUUACAUAUCACUGACUUCCUUCUAGCUACAAUUUACCUUUCAAAAAGUGAUGACUUACUGUCUUCUAGAAAUAGAAAAGGAGAAAUGCCAAAAGACAGUGCUAGAGUAAGUCAUCUUUAUAGACUUCCUUUCUAAUUAACAAAUAAAUCAGAAUUAAAAGUGAUUUUUUCAUCAUGACAUAACAUUAGAAAGCCUGGCAGUGUUGGAAUAAAUUCAUCUUAAAUGCAAUUAGAAAGAAAAUGUAAAUGGAAGGAAAUUGUUGAGGUUAACACCCAGGGUUGAAGUUAGGUAGUGAUGUAGAAAAGCAAUUUAGCAUCAAGAGAGGCAAACUCCAGUAGGGAUCUGUGGCCCUGGUUCUACUUAACAGACAUGUGUACCUUUGUAAAAUUAUUUAAUCCCUGUGAGCCUCCAGCUUCCCCAUCUGUAAACCUCUAUCAGAGUUGUUUUGGGAUAAAUACUUACUUUUUUUAAAAGUAAAAAUAAAAGCCUUGAAAAUUAUAACACCUAAAGAAAUUAAAAUGACUUAUUUAUGUCACGAUAAUGUUCUCUUUUUGUGUAUUUUUUAUAAGUAAAAUGGAAAUUUUAAUACUGUAGCUAACAGGUACAAUUUCCUCAGAACAGUUGACUAGCUCAUAUCAUCAUAUUGCCUUAUCUGCUGUCUUUCUGGAAUUUUCCUUUACAAAAUUUAAUUCCAUUACAGCUCUCUAAAAUUGCUACUCUGUUAUCAUAAUCCUCAUUAGCUCAUAAUUGCCCUUCCUUCUCCAUCUUUCUUUUUGCUGGAGACUAAUGCAGAAUUACAGUUUAUUAAUUGUGCCGUUAUAAGACAUUCUUGUUAGUUUGAUGGCUUCAUGCAUUUAUCUUUGAACCUCCCCUUUUCUGAUUUUCUUCUGUGAUCUAGUUACAUUAAUUUCUUAUUGCCUUCAUCUUUUUUAUGUUAUAAUUUUUAUACAGCUGAAGCAAAUUUAUUUUUUAAAGACCUGGGUAUAUCUGUACCUAAAUGGAUCAUAAAAACCUUAUAUGCUACGGUUUUUUAGAUCAGGGAUAAUCAUCUUAAAUAGCAUUCAUAACAUUCCAAAGGGGAUUUAAGGACUGAGUAAAAAGGAAGAUUUCAGGAUGUGACCUGCACCCAAAAUUCAGAUUGAAACUGAAAUAGCGUGUUGACAAAACAGCAGAGAGAAAAAUCAUCAGAGAGGGGAAAAAAUCCAACAGUCAAUCAAUUGCCUAUUCUGAGUCGUGAAGACUUUACAGCUGGAAUAUUAGCCAGAUCGCUUCCUUUGAGCCACGCUGUUGCUGCUGCUGUUUUUGUGUGGUCUUUGGGUUUGGCACUGCUUUCAUACAUAAACCGGAAAGGAAGAGAAGGCUCUGCCCAGAGAAGUAAUGAAUUAAGGAGUGAUCAAACAAAUUAUAGUUAGUCUUUACAAAACACUUCAAGUUAUUUUACGGAUAUUAACUGCUUUAUUUUUCAAAAAAAAAAAAUUCUAUGAAGACUUUUGGUUGAUAGAUCGUUUGUUUUUGGACUGUUUCCCCCUACUUAGCCAUGGUGGUAUCUUGACUUUCCAGGAUUCCCAGUAGAUGGAAGACUAGGGCAUGCAUUGACACCUCUUCUCCCUGACACUUUUGUGAAUUUCUUGGUAAAUGUCCACUCCCAAACUUUCUGGCUUUCCUACCGACCCCUUGCCAGUGGCCCUACCAAGUAUCUCUAGGUUUGGGGGCAACUUUGAAGGUUUUAAGAUAAAUAUUUGCUUGCUUUCCACACCCACUUAUUUUUUUCCUUGCUUUAUUUUACAAGUAACAUAGUUUUUUUUCCCUGAAAAUCUAAUAAAAGUCAAAUGUGUCUGCCACUGUAAAUCCUGUGAAAUGACUUGAUUUAAAUGAAUUAUGGCAGCUAGUUCUUUAUAAGCCUGAACUAAAUAUUCUCAUUGGGUAGCCGUCUUAUGAUUUAUGUUUACAUCUUUAUCUAGGAAGUAUCUUCCUAGAUCCCAAAGAUCCUUGUAAAGGACUAUUAUCAUAGAUGCCUUUGCUUCUAUAUUUUACCAUCAAAACUAGGCUUUUAUUAGGGUCUUUUUGGACCAGGCUUUAGUGAAGAAAAUCAGUUCAUUCCACUUACUCUUUGAAUCAACUUCCAAACUGUAUGGUAAUAGGGAGGAGAAAGUGUUUUGUUGUUGUUAUUACAAAUAAUCACCAACAUUUACAUAACAUUGUAUAGUUUUGGAUGUGCUGGAACAUGAAUUACCUCAUUAAAUGAGACACAUGAAGAAAUUCAGUGAAUAAUGUCAGCUCCUGGAUGAGAUGGUUUACUUUUCCCUUCUCAUCACCAGACUGGAGCGUGUCUGCUGGAUUCACAUUCAUUAUCUGUGAGGAUUCUAAAGGCAGCUGCAGGGGAGUAUGAAGUGAAGAGGAAUGACAUGCUGUCAUGCUGUGUGAUCAGGAAGCAGAAUGUGGUUUUGGCAACAUGAGAAAUUACAGGACGGCGAUAGAUACACUGAAGCAAGAAGGUCAAGAGGAUCCAUCUAUUGGUGGAAAUUAAAUCAUGCAGGGAAACUUCGGGGAGGCUGUCUCACAGGGGCCUUAUCCAUCUAAAGUCAAGAUGGUCACCAGGGCAGCAGUUCUCUCUGGCGGCCCUGCGGAGGAGCCUGUUUCCCAGCUCAUUCAUGUCAUCGGCCAAAGUCGGCUCCUUGAGGCUGCAGGACCGAGAGCUCCGUUCCCACACUGGCUGUCAGCAGCAGGCCGCCCUUCGCUUCUCGAGGCCUCUGUCGAGUUCAUGCAUAAGGCCACCGUAUCAGACCCUCUCACACUUGGGGUCUCCAGUUUCCCCUGUUGCCGUUCCUGUUCUGCCUCCCUCUUCCACCACAUCUCUCUGACUCUGGCCAGGGAACAUUCUCUGCUUUCAAGGGAUCGUGCGGUUAGAGUGGCCCCACCUGCAUAGUGCAGGUUACUCCCUUGUUUUGAGGCCUGUAGCCUCAAUGACAUCUUCCAAGUCCCUCUUUCCAUGUAACGUAAUGUACUCCCUGGUCCCAGGGACUAGGGCAGGGACAUCCCAGAGAACCGUGCCUCAGCCUGCCGUGUGGGGAGAUGAGUUCACCCGUGCCUUCAGCUCCACAGUAACUGCGCCAGGUUCUAGAGUGCAGAAAAGCGAAUGCUGUCUUUCUCUCUGUCAGGGAUUUUACAGUCUGGACCAUGUAGAAGCAGAUGAGGGAGUGAGAGAGAGAGAGCUUAUGAAUGAGACCAUUCAAUUGUAACGGUGAUGCCUAGAUGUAAUCUUUAUGUUAAUAAAGAUUAAAUAAGAAGAAUCUCAGGCAGCAGAGUUUCAGUGGCAGGUAGUUCCAGUCAGAACAUCUGUCCACUUACCAGGGUCCCAGGUGGGGCACUUGGUAGCAGCUAAGUCCCCAGACUUGGCCAGGAGCAGGGAAGAGUGACUCGCGAUCAGUAACCUGAACAGAGCCCAGCCUCCCAAAGGGAUUGAGGCGUCCUAAGUGAAACUGGGGAGAGCUUGAAAAUGGAGAGCGAGGCGGAGACGCGGUAAGCAGUGCAGCUCAGCCCCAUGGCAGUAGGAAGGAGGAGGACACGGGUUUGGGGGAGCCACGCAUGAACACAGGAGCUUCCCUCAGUGGUUCUGGGUGUCGUGUCUGAAUUGGUACGAGAGACCUGAGGAAACAGUUCAGAACGGCGUCGUCCCUGGGUGAGUUUAGAAGCAGCACGAGCUUGUGUGCGAACCCCUGCCUCAGGUUCCAGAGCAGAAAAGCGCGGAGCCUGGGCACUGCGCCAGGAGGCCGGGAACUCGCAGAGCGUGCCUGUCCCUCGCUGCUGUCUGUGCCUGUGUGGGCUUGGCAAUUCUCUGUCAGACCAGAAGCCUUUCUCUGUAUUUUAGAUAAAAGAUGUAAAGAUGGGGGAAACAACAUUCCAGGUGGUAACGGCAGCUGAGAAUUUAAGGUCUGGAGUAUAGAAAUUGUUUUUGGAAACAGAUUCACGUCACAUGGUCAAUAGUAAUUUAUUGAAAUCAGCUUUUAAGAUGAUUGUGGGCUUGAUGUAUUGGAUAUAUUAUAUUAACUUAUUUUCUUCCCUUCCUUUCCAUUGUAAUAUGGAUGGUAUUAGUUUUUUUUUUUUUUUUUACAAUAAUCCUUUAGAGAGAAAAUUAGGAGAGUUGGGAAUCUUGCAACAUUUUCAGUUUUCAGUGACUGGGACAGAUGGCGAUGUUAGCACAGGCCAAGCCCGGAUACCUUAUUUUUUGCCCUACUCACACACUUUGCUUCCUAUAUAGAGGGCACACAUUCUCCCCUAGAAAUGGGGCAUGUUGUAUGAAAAUAAAAAUAAUUUUCAAAAGAUGAUCUUUUUCAGUGGAAAAUAAAACAGCUGGAGUAUCAGUGUAUGCUUCCUAGUCUCCUAAUCUUAACUCUCUCAUUGAAGUGAGAAAGCUGAGGGAAGAGAAAAGAUGUGUCCUUUUUACAUGGGCAGAUCUUUCCUACUGAUGGAAAAUGAGAGAAAGCAGAAAGCCAGAACAUGUCUUCUGGGAAAGCCUUGAACUCAGGAGACGUGUAGCACCCCGGAAGCUCCUGAGAAGUAAAGAUAAAAGAGAGGAGUUGAUAACAGGCGACGAAAUAGUUACAUGUGUGAAAAGGAAUUGCCUUUGAGAUUUGUAAAAGUCACAUUCCUAAGAAUUUUGAGACUUCUUUUUCUAAUGAAUGAGUUUGACUUUUAAAACAGCCAUUGGCAUAUACACACACACACACACACACACACAUACAUACAUGAACACACAUACAUGUUGAUUAUUGCUUCUGUUUCCAUUUUGUAUUAGAAAUCCCAGCAGAGAAGCAGUCUGUCGCUUAUGACAACGUGCCCUGUCUCAGAUCGCCUCUACUAACAGCUUUCACAUUUUCCAACAAGUGCAUCCCGGAGCCGGGAGCGCCCAGUGUCCAGACCACUGACGCUUGGGGCAGGUGGGCCGCAGCUGCGUGAGACAUGAAGAUCACAGCUGUCGUAGGCGGGCUCCUCCAAGUCACCAGUUCCGGCUGUGAUGCUCUGAGUUACGAUGCGUCUGAACACAUGCCGUCCAGGGACUUGCUGUGACUCGGAGAGCGUGCUUAUGGGGGAAGGCGAUCUCCCUCGGCCCUCCUCGGAUAUGUCAAACGGAGAGGGCCGCGCGGAGCUGACGCCCAGGCGACCCCACAGGUGCGCCCCCGCGGCCGCGCCGCUGCAGGACCGGGGUCACCUGCGUGCUGGGCAGCCUUGCGUGUGCCCCGCCCACGUCACAGGUCCCUACUGCCAGCAGGACCAGAGGCACAGCGAAUGCGGAGACCUGGUGUCCGGAUCCUGGACCUUCUGCGGCUGCCGCCCCUGCAGGCGCGUCUUUGAGGCCCUGCACUGCCUCCCCAGCCAGACACCCGGCCGCUGCUGUAAGCGGAUCCGCCUCCUGGGCUCACAGUCCACACACGCAUGCAGUUGUUCCUUUAUAAUACAGAUCCAUAGAAAUCUGCCUGUGCCAGGAGACACAAGAAUGAGCAAUCUGGGUCAGUUCAUCCCUAGGGAAAGUCACAUUCGCUGUGAAUCACAGUUAUUUUUUUUUAAUAUCAGUAUUACCAUUAAAAAAUUUAUUCCUAAAUUUCCCACAUCUCAAUUACUGGGUUUCAACGUGAUGUCCAAAC